GACGAACGCUGGCGGCGUGCUUAACACAUGCAAGUCGAACGAUGAACUUGGAGCUUGCUCUGGGGGAUUAGUGGCGAACGGGUGAGUAACACGUGAGUAACCUGCCCUGGACUCUGGGAUAACUUCGAGAAAUCGGAGCUAAUACCGGAUAGGACCUUGCACCGCAUGGUGUGUGGUGGAAAGUUUUUCGGUUUGGGAUGGACUCGAGGCCUAUCAGCUUGUUGGUGAGGUAAUGGCUCACCAAGGCGUCGACGGGUAGCCGGCCUGAGAGGGUGACGGGCCACACUGGGACUGAGACACGGCCCAGACUCCUACGGGAGGCAGCAGUGGGGAAUAUUGCACAAUGGGCGCAAGCCUGAUGCAGCAACGCCGCGUGCGGGAUGACGGCCUUCGGGUUGUAAACCGCUUUUAGUAGGGAAGAAGCCUUCGGGUGACGGUACCUGCAGAAAAAGGACCGGCUAACUACGUGCCAGCAGCCGCGGUAACAC
rnacentral:rRNA from 1 species